rnacentral:rRNA from 1 species
AUUGAACGCUGGCGGCAGGCCUAACACAUGCAAGUCGCACGAGUGGCGGACGUGUUAGUAAUGUCUGGGAAACUGCCUGAUGGAGGGGGAUAACUACUGGAAACGGUAGCUAAUACCGCAUACCAUCAUAUGUGCCCAGAUGGGAUUAGCGUGUUGGUGGGGUAACGGCUCACCAAGGCGACGAACCCUAGCUGGUCUGAGAGGAUGACCAGCCACACGUGAACUGAGACACGGUCCAGACGCCUACGGGAGGCAGCAGUGGGGAAUAUUGCACAAUGGGCGCAAGCCUGAGGCAGCCAUGCCGCGUGUAUGAAGAAGGCCUUCGGGUUGGAAAGUACUUUCAGCGGGGAGGCGUUACCCGCAGAAGAAGCACCGGCUAACUCCGUGCCAGCCGCCGCGGUAAUUC